GCCAGUAAGAAGCUGCUGCAUUCUGAACCAGUUUGAGGCGAGAGAGGGACUUUUGGUCAAUGUCAGAAAGUAUGUUGAAAAAUAUAACAACUCCAUGCUUUCGUCACAAAAAAGUGCUGUCUUUGGCAGAGCGUUUCAUCUGGUAUGUUUUAAUGCAAGUUGGGAUCUCACUCAUAGGGCUCAUGUCUGCUGUGUCAGGAAUGACUGUGGAGCACACGGCAUGGAAAGGAACAUCGGAGACCAGCUCAAUAAAGCUUUUGAAGCUUAUCGCCAGGUCUCCAUUGAAAAGGACAAUGCUAAAAAGGAGCUGCAACAAAUGAGUGAAUAUUAUGAGCGAUACACUCAAAAACUUCAAAAGCAGAUAGAGGACCAGCAGCAGUUGAUUUCAAAACUUGAAGCUAAGUUAUCAGCAACAAGACAACCAUCAGGAGAGAUGAAAUGCGAGCCUUGCAACCAUCUCCUGGAUGGGGCUGGAGCUUAUAGGAAAAUGCAGUACCCGGUAUGUUCGCUGUGCUACAGUGUGCUCUUUGUAUGCGAAAACUGCAAUAUGAAUGCUCCAAAACUCGUUUUUCUUCAUUGUCACACUAGAAAAUAUGCAUGAGCAAACAUAUAACUUCCUCUCACAUACAAACACACUUCUGCUGGAUGCUGUUGUAAUUGUGUCAACAAGGCAAUGAGCAACUUUGUAAGAAAUGUUCCACAAAUUGUUUUAGAAAACUGAAAAAAAAA